AAUAAACCAAUCUUUCACUUUUUGCCUACAAUCUUUAACUCUUCGUCUUAUUUAAAAUUUUUUUGUGAUUGAUAUUUUUGUUUUUAUUAGAUGAUAAAUCAUGAAUAGUAUUUUACGUAUGACUAAUUUUUUCUUAUUUUUUAAAAAAAUUUUAAAUAAGACGGAUGGUCAAAAGCCGGGAAAAAACUGAAG
rnacentral:pre_miRNA from 1 species